rnacentral:lncRNA from 1 species
GAAUUAGAGACUGAUGCCCAUCUAAAUUCAACUUGGAUAUGCAUCCUACAUCCAGAUUCCACCAAUGGAAAUGUGGGUAGUAGAGCUCUCGUCGGAAAAGAAGUGGUGGUCUGCUGGGUGGGAGGAAGUGCUUGCUGACAGAACCUGGAUUCAGGUCUGGGAUUUCAUUGUGGAAGAGAAUGGACAUUGUCCUCUCAUCUCCCUGUGGGCUCUUGCACUUUUCCACCACAGGUCACAGCAGUAGUUAAUAAAAGGUUUAAGGCACUUUGUAGGACACUUCCACCAUGGGGGGUAAAGUACCACCUGCUACUCAUAAAGCGAAGUCAGAAGAAAACACUAAGGAAGAAAAAAGAGACAAGACGACAGAGGACAACAUAAAGACAGAGGAGCCAUCGAGUGAGGAGAGCGAUCUAGAAAUUGACAAUGAAGGUGUAAUUGAAGCAGACACUGAUGCUCCUCAGGAAAUGGGAGAUGAAAAUGCAGAGAUAACUGAGGCGAUGAUGGAUGAAGCAAAUGAAAAGAAGGGGGCUGCCAUCGACGCUCUAAAUGAUGGUGAGCUCCAGAAAGCCAUUGACUUGUUCACAGACGCCAUCAAGCUAAACCCUCGCUUGGCCAUUCUGUAUGCCAAGAGAGCCAGUGUUUUCGUCAAAUUACAGAAGCCAAAUGCUGCCAUCCGAGACUGUGACAGAGCUAUUGAAAUAAACCCUGAUUCAGCUCAGCCAUACAAAUGGAGAGGGAAAGCGCACAG